UGGAGGAGGAUGACAUGGAUAAA
rnacentral:piRNA from 1 species